GGGUUGUGAGGUUAAGCGACUAAGCGUACACGGUGGAUGCCCUGGCAGUCAGAGGCGAUGAAGGACGUGCUAAUCUGCGAUAAGCGUCGGUAAGGUGAUAUGAACCGUUAUAACCGGCGAUUUCCGAAUGGGGAAACCCAGUGUGUUUCGACACACUAUCAUUAACUGAAUCCAUAGGUUAAUGAGGCGAACCGGGGGAACUGAAACAUCUAAGUACCCCGAGGAAAAGAAAUCAACCGAGAUUCCCCCAGUAGCGGCGAGCGAACGGGGAGCAGCCCAGAGCCUGAAUCAGUGUGUGUGUUAGUGGAAGCGUCUGGAAAGGCGCGCGAUACAGGGUGACAGCCCCGUACACAAAAAUGCACAUAUUGUGAGCUCGAUGAGUAGGGCGGGACACGUGGUAUCCUGUCUGAAUAUGGGGGGACCAUCCUCCAAGGCUAAAUACUCCUGACUGACCGAUAGUGAACCAGUACCGUGAGGGAAAGGCGAAAAGAACCCCGGCGAGGGGAGUGAAAAAGAACCUGAAACCGUGUACGUACAAGCAGUGGGAGCACGCUUAGGCGUGUGACUGCGUACCUUUUGUAUAAUGGGUCAGCGACUUAUAUUCUGUAGCAAGGUUAACCGAAUAGGGGAGCCGAAGGGAAACCGAGUCUUAACUGGGCGUUAAGUUGCAGGGUAUAGACCCGAAACCCGGUGAUCUAGCCAUGGGCAGGUUGAAGGUUGGGUAACACUAACUGGAGGACCGAACCGACUAAUGUUGAAAAAUUAGCGGAUGACUUGUGGCUGGGGGUGAAAGGCCAAUCAAACCGGGAGAUAGCUGGUUCUCCCCGAAAGCUAUUUAGGUAGCGCCUCGUGAAUUCAUCUCCGGGGGUAGAGCACUGUUUCGGCAAGGGGGUCAUCCCGACUUACCAACCCGAUGCAAACUGCGAAUACCGGAGAAUGUUAUCACGGGAGACACACGGCGGGUGCUAACGUCCGUCGUGAAGAGGGAAACAACCCAGACCGCCAGCUAAGGUCCCAAAGUCAUGGUUAAGUGGGAAACGAUGUGGGAAGGCCCAGACAGCCAGGAUGUUGGCUUAGAAGCAGCCAUCAUUUAAAGAAAGCGUAAUAGCUCACUGGUCGAGUCGGCCUGCGCGGAAGAUGUAACGGGGCUAAACCAUGCACCGAAGCUGCGGCAGCGACGCUUAUGCGUUGUUGGGUAGGGGAGCGUUCUGUAAGCCUGUGAAGGUGUGCUGUGAGGCAUGCUGGAGGUAUCAGAAGUGCGAAUGCUGACAUAAGUAACGAUAAAGCGGGUGAAAAGCCCGCUCGCCGGAAGACCAAGGGUUCCUGUCCAACGUUAAUCGGGGCAGGGUGAGUCGACCCCUAAGGCGAGGCCGAAAGGCGUAGUCGAUGGGAAACAGGUUAAUAUUCCUGUACUUGGUGUUACUGCGAAGGGGGGACGGAGAAGGCUAUGUUGGCCGGGCGACGGUUGUCCCGGUUUAAGCGUGUAGGCUGGUUUUCCAGGCAAAUCCGGAAAAUCAAGGCUGAGGCGUGAUGACGAGGCACUACGGUGCUGAAGCAACAAAUGCCCUGCUUCCAGGAAAAGCCUCUAAGCAUCAGGUAACAUCAAAUCGUACCCCAAACCGACACAGGUGGUCAGGUAGAGAAUACCAAGGCGCUUGAGAGAACUCGGGUGAAGGAACUAGGCAAAAUGGUGCCGUAACUUCGGGAGAAGGCACGCUGAUAUGUAGGUGAAGCGACUUGCUCGUGGAGCUGAAAUCAGUCGAAGAUACCAGCUGGCUGCAACUGUUUAUUAAAAACACAGCACUGUGCAAACACGAAAGUGGACGUAUACGGUGUGACGCCUGCCCGGUGCCGGAAGGUUAAUUGAUGGGGUCAGCGCAAGCGAAGCUCUUGAUCGAAGCCCCGGUAAACGGCGGCCGUAACUAUAACGGUCCUAAGGUAGCGAAAUUCCUUGUCGGGUAAGUUCCGACCUGCACGAAUGGCGUAAUGAUGGCCAGGCUGUCUCCACCCGAGACUCAGUGAAAUUGAACUCGCUGUGAAGAUGCAGUGUACCCGCGGCAAGACGGAAAGACCCCGUGAACCUUUACUAUAGCUUGACACUGAACAUUGAGCCUUGAUGUGUAGGAUAGGUGGGAGGCUUAGAAGUGUGGACGCCAGUCUGCAUGGAGCCGACCUUGAAAUACCACCCUUUAAUGUUUGAUGUUCUAACGUUGACCCGUAAUCCGGGUUGCGGACAGUGUCUGGUGGGUAGUUUGACUGGGGCGGUCUCCUCCUAAAGAGUAACGGAGGAGCACGAAGGUUGGCUAAUCCUGGUCGGACAUCAGGAGGUUAGUGCAAUGGCAUAAGCCAGCUUGACUGCGAGCGUGACGGCGCGAGCAGGUGCGAAAGCAGGUCAUAGUGAUCCGGUGGUUCUGAAUGGAAGGGCCAUCGCUCAACGGAUAAAAGGUACUCCGGGGAUAACAGGCUGAUACCGCCCAAGAGUUCAUAUCGACGGCGGUGUUUGGCACCUCGAUGUCGGCUCAUCACAUCCUGGGGCUGAAGUAGGUCCCAAGGGUAUGGCUGUUCGCCAUUUAAAGUGGUACGCGAGCUGGGUUUAGAACGUCGUGAGACAGUUCGGUCCCUAUCUGCCGUGGGCGCUGGAGAACUGAGGGGGGCUGCUCCUAGUACGAGAGGACCGGAGUGGACGCAUCACUGGUGUUCGGGUUGUCAUGCCAAUGGCACUGCCCGGUAGCUAAAUGCGGAAGAGAUAAGUGCUGAAAGCAUCUAAGCACGAAACUUGCCCCGAGAUGAGUUCUCCCUGACCCUUUAGAGGUCCUGAAGGAACGUUGAAGACGACGACGUUGAUAGGCCGGGUGUGUAAGCGCAGCGAUGCGUUGAGCUAACCGGUACUAAUGAACCGUGAGGCUUAACCUUACAACGCCGAAGCUGUU
rnacentral:rRNA from 1 species